CUUCAACGAGCCGAGCCACAGGGGCCGUUCGGGAGACCGCUGCCCGUACACGUCGAGCAGCGCGGCGGCCUC
rnacentral:antisense_RNA from 1 species